UAUCUCUGUAGAGUCUGCAUAUCAAUAAGCGGAGGAAAAGGAACUAACAAGGAUUCCCUUAGUAACGGCGAGUGAAGCGGGAAGAGCUCAAAUUUGAAAUCUUCAAGGGUUUACCUUUACGAAUUGUAGUUUAAAGAAGUGUUUUCUGUUGAAGUUUCGGUAAAAGUUCUUUGGAAUAGGACAUCAUAGAGGGUGAGAAUCCCGUAUUUGACCGUUACUUUUCAGCUGUGUGAUACACUUUCAAAGAGUCGGAUUGUUUGGGAAUGCAGUCCAAGAUGGGUGGUAAAUUUCAUCUAAAGCUAAAUAUUGGCGAGAGACCGAUAGCGAACAAGUACCGUGAGGGAAAGAUGAAAAGAACUUUGAAAAGAGAGUUAAACAGUACGUGAAAUUGUCAAAAGGGAAGCGUUUGACACCAGUGUUGUUUUCUCGAAAAUCAAUUAAAAAUGGCGUGAUUUUGUGUUGUAUUGACUCUUAUAAGCUUUCUGCACUUUUUUCAUGUCUUUUUUAAUGCACUUUUCGUUUAACAAGUCAACAUCAGUUUCUUUUGUUGUAAAAAGGUCAUUGGAAGGUGGCUUUCUUUUCAGAGAAAGUGUUUAUAGCCUUUGACUCCUGCAAUCGGAGAGACUGAGGUCUGCAGCGUAGAUCCUUCUUGGAUUAGAUUCAUUUGUGCUAAGUUAUAGCUUUUUAUAGACAACUUGUUGACUAUAUUUAGUCUUGUAGCUUACUCGCUUAUGCAAUUUUACCUACGCUUAGGAUGUUGAACGCGCACAGAGUCUC
rnacentral:rRNA from 1 species